rnacentral:rRNA from 1 species
GACGAACGCUGGCGGCGUGCUUAACACAUGCAAGUCGAACGGAAAGGCCCUGCUUUUGUGGGGUGCUCGAGUGGCGAACGGGUGAGUAACACGUGAGUAACCUGCCCUUGACUUUGGGAUAACUUCAGGAAACUGGGGCUAAUACCGGAUAGGAGCUCCUGCUGCAUGGUGGGGGUUGGAAAGUUUCGGCGGUUGGGGAUGGACUCGCGGCUUAUCAGCUUGUUGGUGGGGUAGUGGCUUACCAAGGCUUUGACGGGUAGCCGGCCUGAGAGGGUGACCGGCCACUUUGGGACUGAGAUACGGCCCAGACUCCUACGGGAGGCAGCAGUGGGGAAUAUUGCACAAUGGGCGGAAGCCUGAUGCAGCAACGCCGCGUGCGGGAUGACGGCCUUCGGGUUGUAAUCCGCUUUCGCCUGUGACGAAGCGUGAGUGACGGUAAUGGGUAAAGAAGCACCGGCUAACUACGUG